rnacentral:rRNA from 1 species
UACGGGGGGGGCAAGCGUUGUUCGGAAUUACUGGGCGUAAAGGGCUCGUAGGUGGCCAACUAAGUCAGACGUGAAAUCCCUCAGCUUAACUGGGGAACUGCGUCUGAUACUGGAUGGCUUGAGUUUGGGAGAGGGAUGCGGAAUUCCAGGUGUAGCGGUGAAAUGCGUAGAUAUCUGGAGGAACACCGGUGGCGAAGGCGGCAUCCUGGACCAACACUGACACUGAUGAGCGAAAGCCAGGGGAGCAGACGGG